AAUAAGUGCAGUUUUGCACUAUUCACGUUCAACGUUUGAUCGUUCGUCUUAUUUGAAAAUUUUUUAUGAUUAGUAUUUUUAUUGCUAUUAGAUGAUAAAAUAUGAAUAGUACUUUUUUAUAUAUAUGUGACUAAAUAUUUUCAAUUUUUUCACAAAUUUUUUAAAUAAGACGGACGGUCAAAUGUUGGGCACGGAUAUCUACAGCUGCACUUAUU
rfam:Oryza sativa (indica cultivar-group) chromosome 2, whole genome shotgun sequence.